UGGACGACCUUCAUGAAGUGGAACACGGAAUGCAUACGGGUAGCGGACGGGUAGACAACAUGAGAAGCUGUCCUUCCAGUGGGGCAACGUCUGGAAGCGGACGCUAAUACCCCAUAGGCCGAGAGGUUAAAGCAGAGAUGCGCUGGAGGAGGUGCUCGUGCCCUAAGCUAGUUGGUGAGGUAACGGCUCACCAAGGCGACGACGGGUAGCCGGCCUGAGAGGGUGAACGGCCACACUGGAACUGAGAUACGGUCCAGACUCCUACGGGAGGCAGCAGUGGGGAAUAUUGGGCAAUGGGAGGAAUCCUGACCCAGCGACGCCGCGUGAACGAUGAAGGCCUUAGGGUUGUAAAGUUCUUUUAUGUGGGAAGAAGGAAGUGACGGUACCACAUGAAUAG
rnacentral:rRNA from 1 species